GACGAACGCUGGCGGCGUGCCUAAUACAUGCAAGUCGAACGCUUCUUUCCUCCCGAGUGCUUGCACUCAAUUGGCAAGAGGAGUACCGGACGGUUGAGUAACACGUGCGUAACCUACCCAUCAGAGGAGGAUAACACUUGGAAACAGGUGCUAAUACCGCCUAACAGUUUAUGCCGCAUGUCAUAAGAGUGGAAGUCGCUUUCGGGUCUCGCUGCUUGUUGGACCCGCGGUGCAUUAGCUAGUUGGUGAGGUAACGGCUUACCAAGGCGACGAUGCAUAGCCGAACGGAGAGAGGGGUAGGCGACCCUGGGAGUGAGACACGGACCAGACUACUACGAGAGGCCGCAGUCGGGAACGGUCGGCAACGGUGGAAAGUAUGACAGAGUAAGCGCGAGUGAGUGAAGAAGGCUUUGCGUUGGUAAAACCCGCUUGUGAGUGAAGAACCACGACGUUCGUAAAUGAACGGCAAGUGACGGUAUCUAAAGAGGAAGCCCCGGCUAACUACGUG
rnacentral:rRNA from 1 species